CUAUCCGCCAGAGAAUUACACGUGAAAAACUUAAAACUCAAAGGACUUGACGGUGACCCACACCACCCUAGAGGAGCCUGUCCUAUAAUCGACACUCCACGAUACACCUCACCCACCCCUUGCCACCAAAGCCUAUAUACCGCCGUCGCCAGCCUACCUAAUGAUAGAAACAAAGUGGGUAAAAUAGUAUUACCCACUUAUACGUCAGGUCAAGGCGUAGCUAAUGGGGCGGAAAGAGAUGGGCUACAUUUUCUAAUUAACCAGACCACAACCGUAAGCUCCAUGAAACCUAAGCUGAAAGGUGGAUUUAGAAGUAAGCAAUGACAAGACAUGCCUGGCUGAAACCUGCUCUGGGUCGCGUACACACCG
rnacentral:rRNA from 1 species